AGUUUGAUCCUGGCUCAGGACGAACGCUGGCGGCGCGCCUAACACAUGCAAGUCGAACGGAGCUGAGAGGAGCUUGCUUUUUUUAUGUUUGGGGCAAGGGUGAUAACGGUGGAUACCCCCCGGGGAGGGGGCAACAAUUGGAACCGUUUUUAACCCCCAAAACCCCCGGUGUUCCAUGGCAUGGGGAAAAGGUUUUUUCGUCUCAGGAUGACCUCGGCUCAAUUAAGUUGGUGGUGAGGAACCGCCCAACAAAGGGGAGUGUUGGUCCCGGACUUAGGGGUUAACCGCCCACUUGGGGAUGAACACGGGCCAGAUCUCUUCGGGGGGCACCAGUGGGGAUUUUGCACAAUGGGGGAAACCCUGAUGCAAGGACGCCGCGUGGAAGAAGAAGGUUUUCGGAUUGUAAACUCCUGUCGUUAGGGACGAUAAUGACGGUACCUAACAAGAAAGCACCGGCUAACUACGUGCCAGCAGCCGCGGUAAAACGUAGGGUGCAAGCGUUGUCCGGAAUUACUGGGUGUAAAGGGAGCGCAGGCGGACCGGCAAGUUGGAAGUGAAAUCCAUGGGCUCAACCCGUGAAUUGCUUUCAAAACUGCUGGCCUUGAGUAGUGCAGAGGUAGGUGGAAUUCCCGGUGUAGCGGUGGAAUGCGUAGAUAUCGGGAGGAACACCAGUGGCGAAGGCGACCUACUGGGCACCAACUGACGCUGAGGCUCGAAAGCAUGGGUAGCAAACAGGAUUAGAUACCCUGGUAGUCCAUGCCGUAAACGAUGAUUACUAGGUGUUGGAGGAUUGACCCCUUCAGUGCCGCAGUUAACACAAUAAGUAAUCCACCUGGGGAGUACGACCGCAAGGUUGAAACUCAAAGGAAUUGACGGGGGCCCGCACAAGCAGUGGAGUAUGUGGUUUAAUUCGAAGCAACGCGAAGAACCUUACCAGGUCUUGACAUCCGAUGCAUAGUGCAGAGAUGCAUGAAGUCCUUCGGGACAUCGAGACAGGUGGUGCAUGGUUGUCGUCAGCUCGUGUCGUGAGAUGUUGGGUUAAGUCCCGCAACGAGCGCAACCCUUAUUGCCAGUUACUACGCAAGAGGACUCUGGCGAGACUGCCGUUGACAAAACGGAGGAAGGUGGGGAUGACGUCAAAUCAUCAUGCCCUUUAUGACCUGGGCUACACACGUACUACAAUGGCGUUUAACAAAGAGAAGCAAGACCGCGAGGUGGAGCAAAACUCAGAAACAACGUCUCAGUUCAGAUUGCAGGCUGCAACUCGCCUGCAUGAAGUCGGAAUUGCUAGUAAUCGCGGAUCAGCAUGCCGCGGUGAAUACGUUCCCGGGCCUUGCACACACCGCCCGUC
rnacentral:rRNA from 1 species